AUAGAUAGGAGACAGUAAUAUGUAUACUCAUAUUGAUAUGGGUGCAGGAAAAGAAAAAGCCUUUAACCACUUCCCUAGGCUUUUCAGUCCUACUUAUAUCUCUUUAUCACCAGUCACCACACACAAUUUCACCUAUCUUCCUACAUCUCAUUCUCCCAGUCCCAGGGUACUAUAUACUCCUAGAUCCUCUUCAUUCACUCUAUGUCUAAGAAUAGACGUUAGGGCGAUACUCAAGGCGGAGCGCUAGCUUUGUUCUGCGUCACUUGAGCCGAGGGUGUUUCAUAAAUAGCCUCUUAUCUCCACAAGUUAGGAAGAGGUAAGGUUUGCAUACACUCUACUCUUCUCGGACCCGCUUGUGGGAAUGUAUUGGGUAUGAUGUUUUUAAUCUAUCUAGAGUAGAGGUGGAUACUCAGAAUUUAAAUUUUAUGGGUUUUAAGUUUGAAAUUUUACCUGUCAGUUCAUUUGAUUUAGUGCGUUCAGACUCUAUUAUUUGUAUUAAUUUGAUUGAUUUUUUGAAAACAAAUGUAGAAGUUGAGCUAAAUUAUGUAUGUUAUUAGUCUGCUUUCCGGUAUUUAUAAGAGCUUUAGCAUAUGAUUUCAUGUUUUUGGUCUCCUCGAGAUCUUAUUUGCUAUUUCUGGGUUCUGUAAUAAGUAUAUAUGUAGAGUUUAUCUGUUUGGGGACAUACACUUUUCCAUUUAUAUUGCAGAUACUCUUUUAAGUUCCUCAUCAGUUAUGAUUUCAGCUAAAAAAGAUUCCAAGCAAAAGAUACAUCAGAGAUGAGUGCCAGAGGAGCAGCUUACUUUUGUCCACAUCUGAGGCUAAGAGAAGCAAAGAUUUUAGGCAUUAGAUUGCUUCAGCCGUGCGAAGGGUAGCAGUUUAGCUGCCUUGUAUGAAUUAUAAAUUUAUAAUACUAAAGUUGACUUCUAUAGACUGAUUGAAAUGAUUUGUAAUUGAGGUUUACUUUUAUUAAUUAGGGACCUCAAAAUAUUUUAGCUCUUUACAAACUUAUUUUAGUUUUAUGACUCUUUUAAUUUUCAGGGA